rnacentral:rRNA from 1 species
UGAACGCUGGCGGCGUGCCUAACACAUGCAAGUCGAACGAAGCGCCUCGCCCGACGAAGUGGAGUGCUUGCACAAAGCAGAAUCAAUUGAGGCGACUUAGUGGCGGACGGGUGAGUAACGCGUGGGUAACCUGCCGUAUGCAGGGGGAUAACAGUUAGAAAUGACUGCUAAUACCGCAUAAGCGCACAGUAUCGCAUGAUACAGUGUGAAAAGCCUUAACGGCAUACGAUGGACCCGCGUCUGAUUAGCCAGUUGGCAGGGUAACGGCCUACCAAAGCGACGAUCAGUAGCCGGCCUGAGAGGGUGAACGGCCACAUUGGGACUGAGACACGGCCCAAACUCCUACGGGAGGCAGCAGUGGGGGAUAUUGCACAAUGGGGGAAACCCUGAUGCCAGCGACGCCGCGUGAGUGAAGAAGUAUUUCGGUAUGUAAAGCUCUAUCAGCAGGGAAGAAAAUGACGGUACCUGACUAAGAAGCUCCGGCUAAAUACGUGCCAGCCGCUGC